GUCUGAUGGCCCCAGAAGAGCACUGACAUGAAGAGGUUUGGAGCUUGGCUGAGUCGGCAGUGUGGACCCAGGUUCUCAGAAACUUGGCACAGCUGCCCCAAGACCCCACUACAGUACCUGUUCUGCCGAGGUCAUGUCUCUGAGAGACGGUGUGUGAGCUCCUGAUACCAGCACUGGCUACUUGGCUGAAUGGCCAUCCCAAGGGCAGCUGCAGAGGUCACCCUGGACCCUGUUCUGAGCUCUGUCUAACCACGUGGAGAUUGAGACCCCACAGUUCUGUGCAUAUGAGGCUGGAGAGAACCCCUGUUCCCGGCAUCACUUUCAGGGACCCCUCCCCAAUCUUUCUUUGGACAUCUCUUACCCCAGAAACCUACUUGCCCAAAGCAAGAUGCGAAAGGGAGUCCUGAGGCGCAAGUUCCCUAGAGCUGCGGGGCAGCCAUUCUCCACCCCACCCGGGCAGUGUCCUAGGUCCUGACAAGCUUAGGAGCUACGGACAAGGGUCGGGCAGGGGUCACCAGGGGCGAGGGCACGAGGGCGAACGGAUAGCCAAGGGACCAGCUUCUAGGUGCGACCUCAGACAUGGUCCCAGCCCUGUAGCUGGUUAUUGCCCGAGUCGGGCUCUCCGCCAGCCACGGUGCGCACCGGGGCAGGGGUUCUAGUCGGCCGGCGGGCACGCGGCGCUGUCCGUGGUGCUGCCCGCGCCGGGCGGGGCGGAGGCGGGACGGAGGCGGGGCGAGGGCGCCAGCCAAUG